CUCAUAGUCUGCUAAAUUCUGUACAUAUAGUGAAUAUAGUGCCUGCAUGUCAAGGUAUGUGGUUAAGUACAUCUAACGACCUUUCACUGCAUUUUUUUAUUCUCCAGAGUGCAAUGACACACCCUUCCCAUCUUCUGGCUUUGAGUUGUUACUCGCAGCAGCUGCUGCCGCUGAUGGUGAGUUGAUCGUUAAGCACAUCUCACGUCUUUUCCACUUUUAGUUGUUGUAAGUACUCCAUUUUUGUAUUAUGCAGUACACAAGGAUACAUGCUGCCCAUCUUCUGGCCUUGAUCUGCCACUAACACCGGCUGCUGUCAUUGAUGCUUCUGGAUCCAAUAGUGAUGGCACUCAAUCAGGGCUAAGUUCUUCACACGGUCAGCCUGGCACCGAUACAGCACCAUCGUAUUGCUCAGAAGAAACUCUUUCAAGUUCAGAAUGUGACAUACUGGCAGCUUGUUCACCAGAUGUGGAAACCUCCCAAGGAUCUUACUGUCAGGCAUUUCUGGCUUUGACUGUGCCUGAUGAGUGCGAGUGAAAUAUAUGUUCAUU